rnacentral:rRNA from 1 species
UACGUAGGGGGCUAGCGUUGUCCGGAAUCAUUGGGCGUAAAGCGCGUGUAGGCGGUCCGGUAAGUCCGCUGUGAAAGUCGGGGGGCUCAACCCUCGGAUGCCGGUGGAUACUGUCGGGCUUGAGUACGGAAGAGGCGAGUGGAAUUCUCGGUGUAGCAGUGAAAUGCGUAGAUAUCGAGAGGAACACCAGUGGCGAAGGCGAGUCCCUGGACAACUCCUGACGCUGAGGCACGAAAGCUAGGGGAGCAAACGGG